CAAAACUUUUCAGUUUCUGGCCACCCCACAAGCAAAACCUUCCACCAGGACCCAAACCAGGGCUGAUCAUAAGAAACCUAAACCUCAUUGGCCAUCUCCCCCACCGGUCCCUCCACAAAGUGUCCCAAAAAUAUGGACAAAUAAUGCAAGCUUCAAUUCGGGUCUAUCCCAAUGGUAGUGGCCUUGUCUUCAGAAAUGGCAAGGCAGUUCUUAAAGACAAAUUAUCACCUCUUUGCCUCUAGGCCUCAGACUGCUGCUGGCAAGUACACUGCUUAUAACUAUUCCAACAUCAUCUGGGCACCUUUCGGUCCAUAUUGGCGUCAGGAGAGUAAAAUCUACCACACAGAGCUGUUCAACUGGAAAAAGCUCGAGUCUUAUGAAUAUAUUGGGGUCGAAGGAAGGUGGGCUUUCAUCUCCCACCUCUAUGCGUUGUCAGGAAAGCCAGUCAUGCUUAAAGACCAUCUCUCUCGCGUUACUCUCGGCGUUAUAAGCAGAAUUGUACUGCGGGAGAAGUAUUCAAUGAGUCUGAAUCCGGGAGGUCAAUAGUGACGGUGGAAGAGUUCCAAGAGAUGCUGGAUGGGUUGUUCUUGCUUAAUGGUGUGUUGAAUAUUAGGGAUUGGAUACCGCGGAUUGCAUUCUUGGACUUGCAGGGGUAUGUGAAGAGGAUGAAGGCUUUGCGCCAUAAAUUUGAUAGGUUUUAUGAUCAUGUGCUUGAGAAACACAGGGCCAGUUGAGAAGCAGAGGACUUUGUGGCUAAGGAUAUGGUGGAUAUGCUUCUGAGAUUGGUCGAUGAUCCUGAUCUUGAGGUUAAGCUCGGUACUGAUGGGGUCAAAGGGCUUACCCUGGUUAAUGUUAUAUGAGUUAGGAACAUAUCCAGCCAUUCAAAUUAGGCCUAUUCUAUUGAAAUCUCAUGAUAAUUUUGCUUGUUUGGUUGUUUCAUGGUCAGGACCUGAUUGCUGGUGGUACAGAUAGCUCAGCUACUACUAUGGAAUGGGCGAUGUCUGAGAUCUUGAGGUAGCCAAGCACAGCUAAUAAGGCAACUGAAGAGCUGGAUAGAGUCACAGGGAGAGAUAGAUGGGGGGAAGAGAAAGACAUCCCCCAACUUCCUUAAUAUAGAUGCAAUUGUGAAGGAGACAAUGAGGCUACACCCUGUCACUAGCUGUCCUGCUAGCACCUCACCUGGCUCUUCAUGAUUGCAAUGUAGCUGGCUGUGAUAUUCGCAGAGGAACCCAAGUCCUUGUAAACGCAUGGAGCAUAGGACCCCAACAUAUGGGAUGCACCGGAGGAAUUUCGACCAGAGAGGUUCCUAGGGAAGGCAAUUGAUGUGAAGGGGCAAAACUUGAGCUGCUGCCAUUUGGUUCAAGGCGGAGGAUGUGUGCUGGAUACAGGCUUGGCCUAAAGAUGAUUCGAUCAAGCUUGACUAACAUGCUGCAUGGAUUCCACUGGAAAUUGCCUUGGGAUAUGAAGACAGAAGAGCUGAACAUGGAGGAAGGUCCCGCUUGUUGCUGUCAUGGAGCCUAGACUUCCAAGUCAUCUUUACUAGUCGUGCCUUAGACCUAUGUUUUCUUAAUCUUAUUCAGGUUUGUGCUGUGGUUUUACUGAGGUUCUGGCGUAAAGCGGUUUCUGAAUAAAUGGUUUGGGAUUUUGGUGACCUGAUCUUAAGCCUAUGGCCUUGAUGGGAACUUUCUUUUUUCGGUUCCUUCUGUGCUUCUCCUCCUUCCUUUAUCUCCUCCUUAUGCAAGUCAUUUUCACUUUGGACUGUGUACAUAAAGGGCCCAAUAGGAAUAUCUUGGUAGUCCUGGAGAGGCUCCAGGGUCUUAACCACAGUGCUCAUUGUUGGUCUAUGCUUUGGCAUGUGGCUCAUGCACCAGUAAGCCAAUGCAGCAGCCUUUUGAGCCCCUGCUUCUGAGUAUUGGCCUUCAACUCUUGGAUCCAUUAUUCUGGUGAGCUUCCUGGAAUAGUUCAGUUGAGGCCUAGCCCAUUCUGCUAGGUUCUUCUCCCUGUUAGGCCUGGUCUUGUCCAUUGAUCUUCUCCCAGUUAGUAGCUUCAAGAGCACCACUCCAAAGCUGUAAACAUCGCUCAUUGCUGUCAAAUGCCCUGCAAACAAGCAAACUUCUUAUUUGUACUCCAAAGGAAUAUGCCCUUAACAUUCAAUCUAGAUUGGAUUAAACCUUACUGAAUUUCCUGUGAUAAUGUACUCUGGAGCAGCUUACCCUUGUGUCCCCAUGACUCGGGUUGAAACAUGCGUGUCAUCGCCUUCAGGGCCGUCUUUUGCUAAACCAAAAUCUUAUAAUUUGGGAGUAUGAUCCUGAAAAAGGUAUCAACAAAAGGUCAGCGAUCAUAAACAAAGCCAACAAUAAUGCUGAAGUGGAUGAAUUAGAACUCGCCACAGGUAACAGUAUGAUCCCCAUUUUAUAGGCAGCAUGAUACCCAUUUUAUAGCUAACAUGGGAAUUCGUGUUGUUAGGAAUUGGAAGGAACACGAAAGAAAAUCAUCAUUAAUAAGAUUCCUUCUAUUAUUAGCCUGUCAAUGAAACUAAGACAUGUUAUAAGAUCAUAGAUUGUUAGCCCUUGGGGGCUGUCUAACUAUGUUUUGAUGAUAACAACAUAAGAUGAAGUGUACUGAGUUGUUUGAAUUAAGAAAAGUUUCAAGUUUUAUUGAAAAUUUCAAAAGAAAGAUAAAGAUUGUCUAAAAAAAGAUUUGAAGGACACGAAAAAAUGAAUCCUUAAAGAUUUAUAAGGUUUAAGAAAUUUUGUAAGAUGAAUCUCUUGCAUGUGUUUAGGAUUAAACUGAUUUUUAUACACUUUUAAUGCAUUCAUUUAGAUUUAGGCGACAUUUGUUUUUUUAACUUUUUACUGAAAGCAAAUUGCUUUCAGAUUUCAAAUUGUUUAUUUCUUCACUUUUUGUUAAUUUAUUAUUUAUUUAAAAAAAAAUUUUAUUGAAUAGAAAAAGAUAAAAUAUUUGAUUUUUUUUUUUAAAGUUAAAAAUAACAUUGGUUUUUGUUUAUUUUUUAAUACUUAAUAAAAAUGAAAUAUUAAAAAACAAACAACUUGAGUGCAAUUGAAAUCCCAUAUCAAUAUUAAGAUCAAUUUUAAUAAUAUUUAUAAUGUCCAUAUAAUUUUAAAACAUAUUUAUACAAUAAAAAAUGGCCUACUAUAUAUAAUAUGUUAGGAAAAGAAAAUUUUUCUCCACAGAAGUCGAGUUUUACAAAAUCCUACCACAAGUCAAUAAAAAAAGAAAAAUGUUUGACGUAAGUUGAGAUUAGAGUUUGAAAUUACAAGUAAUGCAAGUGUAAAGUUUUCAUUAUGCAUGUUUGUGCAAUUUUCCUUAAAUCUUGAAAGUCACGGAUAACAAAAUAUGACCAUAAUCCACCAAUUCAUACACUAAAAAAUAUCUUCUAUAGAGGGAAUAGUCCUGAACCAUAAAAAAUAUAGAGACAGGCCGGCCAUGGGGUGGGUUCAAUUAUUAUUGAGAUCGCUCAUGGGGUGAAACAAUUUUAUUCUAUGCAACUUGAUUAUUGAGAUGGUGAUGGGGAUAAAAGAAGGUCCACCCUUAAUGUCAGGACAAAGAAGCAUGUUGCCCAUGAUUUUCUGAAAAGCUAAACAUAUUCUAAACAGUACUUCUUGCAAGCCCAAAGACACCAAAGUAGUGCAUCAGAAGAGCUUGGAAAGAGGUGUUGGGUGCUAGGUCAAUUUUUCGAAUAGAUCAAAAGAAAGCUAAAGAUUGUCUAAAAAAGAUUUGAAGGACACCAAAGGAUGAAUCCUUAAAGAUUUAUAAGGUCUAAGAAAUUUUGUAAGAUGAAUCUCUUGCGUGUAUUUAAUAUUAAAUUGAUUUUCAUACAUUUUUAAUGUAUUCAUUUAGACUUAGUUGACGCUUGUUUUUUUAACUUUUUGUUGAAAGCAAAUUACUUUUAGAUUUUAAAUCAUUUAUUUCUUAAAUUUUUUUAUUAAAUAGAAAAUAAUAAAAUAUUUGAUUUUUUCUUAAAGUUAAAAAUAAUAUAUUAGUUUUUAUUUACUUUUUAAUACUUAAUAGAAAUGAAAUAUUUAAAAACAAACAACUUGAGUGCAAUUGAAAUCUCGUAUCAAUAUUAAGAUCAAUUUUAAUACCAUUUAUAAUGUCCAUAUAAUUUUAAAACAUAUUUAUACAAUAAAAAAUGGCAUACUAUAUAUAAUAUGUUAGGAAGAGAAAAUUUUUCUCCAUAGAAGUUGAGUUUCACAAAAUCCUACCACAAGUCAAUAAAAAAAGAAAAAUGUUUGACAUAAGUUGGGAUCAGAGUUUGAAAUUAUAAGUGAUGCAAGUGUAAAGUUUUCAUUAUGCAUGUUUGUACAAUUUUCCUUAAAUCUUGAAAGUUACGGAUAACAAAAUAUGACCAUAAGCCAACAAUUCAUGCACUAAAAAAUAUCUUCUAUAGAGGGAAUAGUCUUGAACCAUAAAAAAUAUAGAGACAGGGCGGACAUGGGCUGGGUUCAAUUAUUAUUGAGAUCGCAGAUGGGAUGAAGCAGUUGUAUUCUAUGCAAACUUGAUUAUUGAGAUGGUGAUGGGGAUAAAAGAAGAUCCACCCUUAAUGUCACGACAAAGGCAUAUUCCAAACAAUACUUCUUGCAAGCCCAAAGACACCAAAGUAGUGCAUCAGAAGAACUUGGAAAGAGGUGUUGGGUGCUAGGUCAAUUUUUCGAAUAGAUUGAAGUAAAAUGUUUGUUUAUGAAAAUUUUUUAAAUACGAAUUGAUAAUGUGAAAGGUACAGUAUUGUUUUAUAUUUAAAUUGAAAGUGUCAAUUUUUUGUUUUUUCUGAUCUCCAUGCAUUACAUAACUCCAUCAGAAAUUCCCGGGGUGAGUAAUAGGAUUUGACGAUAGACUUAAAAAGUCAUCUAUAGACACUUUAUACGUAAUCAUUCUAGAUAACACUUGUAUUCUCUGUAUUACCUGAUAUAAAGUUAAUAGAUGCUCAUUCCUAUAUAUAUAAUGAUAUCUCAAAAGAUUUAAUUUUUUAUUAUAUUUAAUUCUUUUUAUUUUUCUUUAUUGAGUUAUCGAAUUGACUUUAUUUAUUAUUCCACUUUUUAAGAACAAGUGAUAUUGAUGUAAAAGGAUCGGGAUAGAAAUGAUAUUUUGAUUAGAAGCAACUUUGGAAUUGAUUAUUUAGGAUUAUUGACUUAAAGACUAAUGUCAUUUAUAACUUCUACAAUUUUUUAUUUAAAUGUUAUUAUUGAGCUAUUUUAAUUAGUUUUGAAUUUAUUGGUAAUGUAUUAAGCUCUGACAUGUGAAAUGAGUCUGGUACCUUUAGCUUUUGCGUUGGAGACUUUCUAUUGGGUAGGCUUGGCCGAAGUCCCACUCUCAAAUCACUACCAUAAAAGUUGUUUCCUUGUUAGGAGAAAUGUCCAAGAAAAUUGCAGACUGAGGCCCCAUGAACGAGAAAGGAGGUCAAUUAUUGAAGCACUCAUUCAUUUAGUUCUGCUGUGCAACUUCUGUUUAUGCAUCAUCUUUAUAUAAAAGGUUUCAUGGGAGGGCCAAGAGGAGAUACAUAUGAUCAGGCAUGAUAAAAGCAUGGUGUUCCCAUACACUUUAACAUGAUAAACAGGGCAAGGAUUAAUGAGCAUUCUUGUAGUCAUAACAUCAAGAAAUAUCCCCCAAUUGAAAGAGACUAAGGUAGUAUUUAGUUUUUUAACUUAAUACUCAAUGUAAUUUACUUUCAAAAUUUUUAAAUAGAAAAAACAAAAAUAUUUAAUAAUAAUAAAAUAAUAAAAAAUAAAUGAUUUAAUAUUUAAUAGUAUUAAGUUAAAUAAAAUUCCAUUUAAAUUUAAGUAAAAAAGCCAAACACGAAAGUAUUAAACUAUAGUAUCCAAUAUUAGCCUUGGCCAUUAGUUGAGAAGGUUGCUGUUCUCCUCCAUGGAUGCAAUGACAGAUUCUUCUGUGUUAAAUUUAUAAAUGUUUUCUCUCUGCUUUUGUGUCAUCUUGGUGGACACUGGAAGAUCAAGCCAUUUAAGUAAGACAUUUUUAUUGGGUUUUGGUGAGUGAAUGAUAUCUCUGAGUGAUACACCUUUUUUAUUUUUAUUUUUAGCUUUUACCUUAUGUUUAAUUCCUCGAAACUAAGAAGGAAAGCAAUUUUUUUUUUAAAUUAUCUUCUCAUAUUAAUUAUUCUAUAUAAAAUAGGAAAAAAAUCAAAUAUAAUUAAAAUUAAUUAAAAAUUUAUAUAUUUUCAAAUUAUUUAAUCUUAUUUGAAAAGAAUUAAAAAAAAAUAAAAUGAAUUGAAAAUAACAUAUAAAAAUAAUUUAUUAAUAUUAAAUAUAUUUUUAUUUUUUAUUUCCUUCCAUUUUUCUUCUUUACUUUCUUUUUCCCUUCCAAUCAAACAUAAUGUUUUAAGUGUUUAAUAAAAUAUUUAAACUCUUGUAAAUGGUUGAAUAGUACUACCAAAAUGUGAUUCACAUGAGUUCAAUAUAUGCUUUCCACCAGCUUAUUUGCUUAUAAAUAGUCCCCCGUUCCUCAAACUUUCACCACCAUUAAUGGAGGCUCCUUCUUGGGUUGUUUUGGCCCUAGCAUGGCUAGCCUCAGUAGCCCUUCUCUCAAAAGUUUUCAGUUUCCGGCCACCCCACAAGCAAAACCUUCCACCAGGUCCCACACCAUGGCCGAUCAUCGGCAACCUAAACCUCAUUGGCCAUCUCCCCCACCGGUCCCUCCACAAACUGUCCCAAAAAUAUGGACAAAUAAUGGAGCUUCGAUUUGGGUCUUUCCCAGUUGUAGUGGCCUCAUCUUCAGAAAUGGCAAAGCAGUUCUUAAAGACAAACGAUCACCUCUUUGCCUCCAGGCCUCACACUGCUGCCGGCAAGUACAUUACUUAUAACUACUCCAACAUCACCUGGGCUCCUUACGGUCCAUACUGGCGCCAAGGGCGUAAAAUCUUCCUCACAGAGCUGUUCAGCUCGAAAAGGCUCGCGUCUUAUGAGUACAUUCGGGUUGAAGAAAGGCAGGCUUUCAUCUCCCGCCUCUACGCAUUGUCAGGAAAGCCAGUCAUGCUUAAAGAACAUCUCUCUCGCGUUACUCUCGGCGUUAUAAGCAGAAUUGUACUGGGGGAGAAGUACUUCAGUGAGUUCGAAUCCGGGAGGUCGAUGUUGACGGUGGAAGAGUGUCAGAAGAUGCUGGGUGAGUUGUUCUUGCUUAAUGGUGUGUUGAAUAUUGGGGAUUGGAUACCGUGGAUUGCAUUCUUGGACUUGCAGGGGUAUGUGAAGAGGAUGAAGGCUUUGCGCGAUAAAUUUGAUAGGUUUUAUGAUCAUGUGCUUGAGAAACACAGGGCCAGAAGAGAAGCAGAGGACUUUGUGGCUAAGGACAUGGUGGAUAUGCUUCUGAGAUUGGCUGAUGAUCCUGAUGUUGAGGUUAAGCUCACUACUGAUGGGAUCAAAGGGUUUACACAGGUUAGUGUUAUUUGAGUUCAUGAACAUAUCCAACCAUUCAAAUUAGGCCUGUUCUAUUGAAACCUCAUGAUAAUUUUGCUUGUUUUGUUGUUUCAUGGUCAGGACCUAAUAGCUGGUGGUACAGAUACCUCAGCUACUACUCUGGAAUGGGCGAUGUCCGAGGUCUUGAGGCAGCCAAACAUAGCUAAAAAGGCAACUGAAGAGCUGGAUAGAGUUAUAGGGAGAGAUAGAUGGGUGGAGGAGAAAGACAUUGCCCAACUUCCUUACAUAGAUGCAAUUGUGAAGGAGACAAUGAGGCUACACCCUAUUGUUGUCCUGCUGGCACCUCACCUGGCUCUUCAAGAUUGCAAUGUAGCUGGCUAUGAUAUUCGCAGAGGAACCCGAGUCCUAGUAAACACAUGGAGCAUAGGGAGGGACCCCAACAUAUGGGAUGCACCCGAGGAAUUUCGACCAGAGAGGUUCCUAGGGAAGGCAAUUGAUGUGAAGGGACAAAGCUUUGAGCUGCUGCCAUUUGGUUCAGGGCGGAGGAUGUGCCCUGGAUACAGCCUUGGCCUAAAGAUGAUUCAAUCGAGCUUGGCUAACAUGUUGCAUGGAUUCCACUGGAAAUUGCCUUGGGAUAUGAAGACAGAAGAGCUGAACAUGGAGGAAGUUUUUGGACUGACAACUCCAAGGAAGGUCCCACUUGUUGCUGUCAUGGAGCCUAGACUCCAAAACCAUCUUUACUAGUCGUGCCUUAGACCUAUGUUUUUGAAGAUGAUCGGAAAAGUGUCCUUCUAGCUCGAUUGCAUGGGCUGGUUUUUAUAUAACAGGGUUGCCUGGCCAUGUGGUAGGCUGGUCAGUCAUUUUCCUGCCUUUUACAAGAAUACAAAAAUGCCUUUUGACUAAUAGGCAAAGGCAGUCAGCUUUCCAUCAAGCGUUUGGUGUGUUAUUAGUUCACCUCGUCAGGUAUUCUUCUUGGAGGGUAGCACGUUGGGGAUGUACUGCUUUUUGGCACCUCCAGUUUUAUUAAUAUUAUUCAGUUGUGUGUAAUGGUUUUGAUCCGUUAAUUGUAUUUCUUCUGUUCUCUAUCCAUGAAUGCAUUAGUGGCUUGCUUAAUUAAUAACAAACCUUUGAAAAAUGAGGUUACUGAUGUUGUCAAAGGAUACACAUAAUUGUAUUUAGACACAUGGCAGAGUGAUCCCUGUAUAAGAAACAAAAUAAGGAAUAUGGGAGUUUAUAGAGAUACGACACCUCGUACACUACUACAUCUCAUCUUCAUCAACCCUAGACCUUUAUCACCUUUUAACAUGUCGGCAUGCUGCAUGCCACUUCUAAUUUUGUUGGUGAAUAAAGCGUAUGUGAUUCUAUUGGAUGAUUAGCUUCUUAUUGUCAAAAAGGCGCAAAAAAUAUCUUACAGUAAGCAAAAAAGAUUAUCGACAGGCUGCCAUGCAUAUCAUAUGCUUAAAACAUUCUUGUCCUUAUUCAAAUUCAGUCACUUUCCUUAAUCUUUCAUCAAUCUAAUUUCUUCCUUAAGUGCUAUUCCAACAACCCUAUCUUAUCUUAAAUUUAGAGACAUUUAUAUAAUUUGAAAUUUUAAAAAGGCUUUUUUUUAAAAAUAAAUAUUUAUAUAAUUUUAAAAUUUUGUGAGAAAACAAAUGAGAUAUUUUCAUUAUUUUGGUCUUUGCAAUCACCCACUAUCUUUAUUUAUUUCCCAUAUUAUAAAAAAUUGAAAAGAUAAAAUAAAGAAAAUAAAUACAGAAAGUCUUCAAAGAACAGAUUACUUUGUUGUACCAUUUAAAAGUAAGAGUCUAACCUUGAUCCAUCUUUAUAUAUGUAAAUUAAAAUUCUAAAUAUAAUUUAGGUGGUGAUAAAUUUUAUUUCAAAUUUAAAAACUUAGGAGUAUUUACAAAUGUUCAUCAUAAAAUAAAAGAAAAAUAAAAGGAAAGUAAAGAGGCAAGAUGGAGAUGGGGAAAAAAAUUAGGGAAAAUAAUAAUAAUAAUAAUAAUAAUAAUAAUAAUAAUAAUAAUAAUAAUUAAAUAGACAUAGGAAAAUAAUUUUUAGAGUUUUAGUUUAAAUAAAUAAUUGAAAAAAAUGGAUUAUAAAUAUAAUUGAUAAUAAGAGUUUUAUAUAAAUUGGCAAUUUCCUAUAGAUGAAAAUAAUAUUACUUAUAUAGAAAAUUAGGAAUUAGAGUAUUAAUAAUUACAUCAAAGAGAAUAAUAUUAAUGCAAAUGGUAUCAAGAACGUCAAAUACUAAUUUUUAAUUUUUGAUAAAUAGCCGAUUGAAAUAAUUAUUCUUUGAACUAUGUUAUGUUAUGUGUGGAUUAAGUUCUUUAUGAUCAAGUAAUGUUUUUAUGAAAUGUAUUAUGAUUUUAAAUUGGGAAUUUCGAUCAUAUGAUUUAUUGAUCAUUGUGUAAGUGGAUUUUAGUUUAUAAUUUAUUAUAAUGACUUUGAAAUUUUGAUUAUUAGUGGUCUUGCUCAAUAGAGUAUAAAUUAUUAACCUUCGUUACCCUUGAUAGGGGGUAGUGAUGCUAUGCAAUCCUAACCAAUAAGAUGCUAUUAACCUUUGGUAUGCUAUUGAUUGAAUGUUGAUGGGGGAACAAAAUGAAGCUACCCAUCUAGUGCAAAUUCCAUUAUUUGGUUAUAGUGUUAUUAUCAGCGAAAUAGAGUAAAAUAUUUAUUUAUAAAAUCAUUUUGAACAUGAACUUCUACUAUUAAGUGUAUUAUAUUGUUUUAUACUUUUUGAAGUGUCAAUUUUUUUUCAAAAAAAAAAUGUAAACUUAAUUAUUAAAUUAAAUGAGUAGAUUUUUCUUAUUGACUUAUUUUUUCUUAUCGUGUUAAAUAUCGAAUUCACUCUUUUUUUAUAAUUCCACUUUUCAAUUACAAGUGAUGCCAAUGAAGAGAGAUUGUAAUAUAAUUAAGAGUGUUUUUAUUAUAAACAGUUUUGAAAUAGAUAUUGUUUAUGAUUAUUAACUUAAGACUAAUUGUAGUUGUAACUUCUAAAAAUUAAAUUUUAUAGAAUCAUUGAAGUCAUCGUUGAGAUAUUUUAAUUAUUUUUGGUUUUGCUAGUCAACUUAAUUUAUGUAUUAAGUUAUUGGAUUUGACAUGUGAAAUGGCUGUGAUGCUCUUAGCCUUCGGGUUCGAGGUAUCAGAGCCAUUGUCAUCACUUCACGGCCUUCCAACUGGGUAGGCUUGCUCGAAGUCACACCCUCAAAUCACUAGCAUGAAAGCUAGCUUUUACCUUGUUAGGUGAACCGGCUUAGGAAACUGUAAACUGAGAUCCAAUCAAUAAGCAAGAAGUUCAAUUAUUGAAGUUCUUAUUCAUUUGAGUGCUCUUCGACUACUUUAUGUAAAAAAUUUCAUGAAAGGGCCAAGAGGAUAUACAUAUGAUCAGGCAUGGAUGAUGCUUGGUGAUCCCAUACAGUACUCUCACGUGAUAUACGGGCCAAGGAUUAACGAGUAUUCUUGUAGUAAUAACGUUAAGAUAUGAACCCUAAUGGAAAUACUAACUAGAACACGCACGAAAGUAUUAAGCUAUGGUAUCCAUUAGCAUUGGCCAUUAGUUGAAGGUUGCAGUCCUCUAUAGAUCUCCAUUAAUGAUUCUUUUGUGUUAAAUUUAUAAAUGUUUUCUCCAUACUUUUGUGUCAUAUUGGUGGACCCUGGAAGAUCCGUCCUUACAACCAGCCAUAUCAGUAAGACAUUUUUAUUGGGUUUCUGGUAAAUAAAUAUUAGCAUAAAUUGGAAGGCGGUGGCUGUCCAUUUCUGCAGUGAUACACCAUUGUCUUUUUUAAGCUUUUAGUAUUUAAUAAAAUAUUCAAGCUUUUGUAAAUGGUUGAAUAACACUAUCAACAUGUGAUUCACAUGAGUUUAAUAUGUGAUUUCAACCAUGGCCAAUCAUGGGCAACCUAAACCUCAUUGGCCAUCUCCCCCACCGGUCCCUCCACAAACUGUCCCAAAAAUAUGGACAAAUAAUGGAGCUUCGAUUUGGGUCUUUCCCAGUUGUAGUGGCCUCAUCUUCAGAAAUGGAAAAGCAAUUCUUAAAGACAAACGAUCACCUCUUUGCCUCCAGGCCUCACACUGCUGCCGGAAAGUACACUAAUUAUAACUACUCCAACAUCACCUGGGCUCCUUACGGUCCAUACUGGCGCCAAGGGCGUAAAAUCUUCCUCACAGAGAUGUUCAGCUCGAAAAGGCUCGAGUCUUAUGAGUACAUUCGGGUUGAAGAAAGGCAGGCUUUCAUCUCCCGCCUCUACGCAUUGUCAGGAAAGCCAGUCAUGCUUAAAGAACAUCUCUCUCGCGUUACUCUCAGCGUUAUAAGCAGAAUUGUACUGGGGGAGAAGUACUUCAGUGAGUUCGAAUCCGGGAGGUCAAUGGUGACGGUGGAAGAGUGUCAGAAGAUGCUGGUUGAGUUGCUCUUGCUUAAUGGUGUGUUGAAUAUUGGGGAUUGGAUACCGUGGAUCGCAUUCUUGGACUUGCAGGGGUAUGUGAAGAGGAUGAAGGCUUUGCGCCAUAAAUUUGAUAGGUUUUAUGAUCAUGUGCUUGAGAAACACAGGGCCAGGAGAGAAGCAGAGGACUUUGUGGCUAGGACAUGGUGGAUAUGCUUCUGAGAUUGGCUGAUGAUCCUGAUAUUGAGGUUAAGCUCACUACUGAUGGGAUCAAAGGGUUUACACAGGUUAGUGUUAUAUGAGUUCAUGAACAUAUCCAACCAUUCAAAUUAGGCCUAUUCUAUUGAAACCUCGUGAUAAUUUUGCUUGUUUUGUUGUUUCAUGGUCAAGACCUAAUAGCUGGUGGUACAGAUACCUCAGCUACUACUCUGGAAUGGGCGAUGUCCGAGGUCUUGAGGCAGCCAAACAUAGCUAACAAGGCAACCGAAGAGCUGGAUAGAGUUAUAGGGAGAAAUAGAUGGGUGGAAGAGAAAGACAUUCCCCAACUUCCUUACAUAGAUGCAAUUGUGAAGGAGACAAUGAGGCUACACCCUGUUGCUGUCCUGCUUGCCCCUCACCUGGCUCUUCAGGACUGCCAUGUAGCUGGCUAUGAUAUUCGCAAAGGAACCCGAGUCCUAAUAAACACAUGGAGCAUAGGGCGGGACCCCAAUCUAUGGGAUGCACCUGAGGAAUUUUUCCCAGAGAGGUUCCUAGGGAAGGCAAUUGAUGUAAAGGGGCAAAACUUUGAGCUACUGCCAUUUGGUUCAGGGCGGAGGAUGUGUCCUGGCUACAGCCUUGCCCUAAAGAUGAUUGGAUCCAGCUUGGCUAACAUGUUGCAUGGAUUCCACUGGAAAUUGCCUGGAGAUAUGAAGCCAGAAGAGCUGAACAUUGAGGAAGUGUUUGGACUGACAACUCCAAGGAAGGUCCCACUUGUUGCUUUCAUGGAGCCUAGACUCCCAAGUCAUCUUUACUAGUCGUGCCUUAGACCUAUGUUUUCUUAAUAUUAUUCAGUUGUGUGCAAUGGUUUUAGUCUGUUAAUUCUAUUUCUCCUGUUCUCUAUCCAUGAAUGCAUUAGUGGCUUGCUCAAUUGAUAACAAACAUUACAAAAAUGAGGUUACGGUUAACAAAAGAUACACCUAAUGCCAAACUUUUCAAUUGUGUCGAUGGUGUAUAUGUCACUAAUGAUCUCAUUUCUUAGGACUUCAUUUUCUUUUCUCAUGUGGGGGAGGCAGCCAUGAAUCAGUCAGUUGCUUCAUUGUUAAUCAAAGAAAAUGAGGCGAAUUUGAAAGAAUUGAUUCAGAUAGCUAAAAUGUUCUCCUCAUAAGUAUUCAUACACUUUAUGCCUAAAAUGUGACCCACUAUGAAAUACAAGACAACCCUCAGUAAAUCUCUAUUCAUAAUAUGAUCUAUAGUUCUACCCACUUUUCUACCCUUCCUGCUUCUGGGAUGUAGGGAGAGUUUGGAUUGUUUAUGAGAUUCUGGCGUAGAGUGGUUUUGAAUAAGUGGUUGGGGAUUUUGGUGAUAUGAUCCUAUGCCUAUGGCCUCGACGGGAACUUUCUUUUUUGGGUUUCUUCUGUGCUUCUCCUUCUUCCUUUGUCUCCUUCUUAUGCAAGUCAUUUUUGCUUUGGACCGUGCACGCAAAGACCCCAACAGGAAUGUCAUGUGGGCCGAAGUGACUUGAGACUAAAUUGAGUUUGUGUCACUUGGUCCAACCCACUUAAGAUCCUAAUUAAUUAAUUAACUCUAAUGUGCUUAAAUAAAUUAACUAACCUAAUUCAGAAAGUAAGUUUAUAAGAUUUAGUGUAAUAUUACAUUUUUACCAGAAUACCUUUAUUGUACACUUAUGAAUUAUAUACCCAAAAUAUCCUUAAAGCAAGUGCCACAAUGAAACAGGAGCUCAAGUGAGGGCCACUUCUGAAGUUGACUCAACUACACUCAAAAUCCAAUUCUGGCUCCCUAAACUCAACUACUUUCAAAAUAUUGGUUCUUCAAAAUCCAAUUCUGAAGUUAGACUCAACAUUCCAUUCCAUUAAAAAAAGUUAACUACACUCUAGUAUCCUAUGAAAUUACAACGAUACAAAGCUUGAGUGUAUGACCUACUAUCUAUUACAUGCAAACUCCUCAUGAAUUGAUAUUUGUAAUAUAACAAAGAAUUUAGGUAAAGUCUCUAGAAAACUUUGAAUGGAAGAGUUUAAGUGUUGAUAAAUUUUAUUUAAAAUCGAAAAAUUAGGGAUAUGUACAAAUGUUUAGACGAGGUUUAUAUUUAAUAAAAAAUAAUAAAUAAAAAUAAAAAGCCUUUAAAGAACUUUGGUAUGAAGAGUUUAGGUGUUUAUAAAUUUUAUUUCAAAUAAAAAAAAUUAGGAAUAUAUACAAAUAUUUAGACGAGAUUCGUAUUGAAUUGAAAAGAGUACAUAAAAGCGGCAAUUAGCUAAAUGGUUAAUAUGGCUUGUUGCGUGUUUGGGUGUUGAAUGGAUGAAACCACAGACAAAUAAAAGGAAAAUAAAGAGGCAUGGUGGAGAGGAGGAAUAAAUUUUGGGGACAAUAAUAUAAUUAAAUAUACACACAAAUAGAUUUUUGAGAGUUUUAGGUUAGAUAAAUAAUUGAAAAAGGUAUAUUAUUAACGUAUUUGGUAAUGGAGUUGUAUACAAAUUGGGAAUUGCCUCCAUAUUAAAAUAAUAUUAAUGCAAGAGUAUUAAGAAUGCUAAAUAAUAAUUUUAGAUAAAUAGCGCAUCAAAAUUUUUUGAACUAUGUUAUGCCAGGUAAGUUCACUGUGGUCACGUGCUUUAAAAAUUCGACUGACUUUUAUUAUAUAAGAGUUAAUAGUGCAAUAAAUCAUUUUGUAAUUCCUAAUCAAUUUGUAAUUAAAGUAUUAAAAUAUUUAAAUUUUCUAAAGUGGAUCAAUUAAUAAUAUUCUUCUAAAAUGCGAUAUGAUUUGUUCUUUGGUUUUUGAAAUAAAUUAAAAAUAUCAUAUGAUUUAUUGAUUAUUAUGUGAGUGGAUUUUAGUUCUCAAUUUAUUAUAUAUAAUGACUUUGAAACUUUGGUUAUUGGUGGCGGAUAAAUUGUUGAUCUUCACUACCUUUGACGAGGGUAGUAAUGUAGUAUAACCCUAACCAGUAAGGAUGUUAUUAGCCUUGGUACACCAUAUAUUAAAAAUCAUUCCCUCCAUCAAUAAAAUGAAUAAAUUGAGGCUAACUACCUUACGUAAGUCUCACUAUUUGGAUAUAGUGAAUCAAAGUAAAAUAUUUAUUUAUGAAAUUAUUUUGAAUACGAACCAAUAAUGCAAGUGUAUUAUAUUAUUUUAUAUUUAAAUUGAAAGUGCCAAUUUUUUUUUUAAAGAAAUAUAUCUCAAAAGAUUUAAUGUUAUAUUAUAUUUUAGCCUCCUUGUUGAACUCUCCUAGAAAACUGUAGAGUGAGAUCGAAUCAAACGAGCAGGAAUUCAAUUAUUAAAAUACUUAUUCAUUAAUAAUGCAAGUGUAUUAUAUUAUUUUAUAUUUAAAUUGAAAGUGCCAAUUUUUUUUUAAAAGAAAUAUAUCUCAAAAGAUUUAAUGUUAUAUUAUAUUUUAGCCUCCUUGUUGAACUCUCCUAGAAAACUGUAGAGUGAGAUCGAAUCAAACGAGCAAGAAUUCAAUUAUUAAAAUACUUAUUCAUUUGGCUGUAUACAAAAAUUUCAUGGAAGGGCAAAGAAGAUGUAGAUAUGAUCAGGCAUGGAUGAUGGUGUUCCCAUACAGUACUCUCACGUGAUGAACGGGGCAAGGAUUAACUAGAACACAAAAGUAUUAAACUAUACAUACAAGAUCCGUUAGGGUUUUGGCCAUUGGCUGAAGAUUGCAGUCCUGUAUAGAUCUCCAUUGAUUCUUUUGUGAUAAAUUUACAAACGUUUUCUCCAUGCUUUUGUGUCAUUUUGGUGGACCCCGGAAGAUCCAUUAUUAAAACCAGCCAUAUCAGUAAGGAAUGAUAAUAUAUUUUGGAAGGUGGGUGUACGUCUAUUUCUGAAGUGAAAAAGGCACCAUUGUUUUUUAAUGUUUAAGCGUUUAAGUUAUGGUUGAUUAAUAUUAACAAAUACGAUUCACAUGAGAGUUGGGACUAAUAUGUGAUUUCCACAAUCUUAUUUGCUUAUAAAUAGUCCCCCAUUCCUCAAACUUACACCACCACCAUCACCACCAAUGGAGGCUCCUUCUUGUGUAGUUUUGGCCCUGGUGUGGCUAGCUGCAGCAGCCCUUCUCUCAAAACUUUUCAGUUUCCGGCCAGCCCACAAGCAAAACCUUCCACCAGGCCCCAAACCAUGGCGGAUCAUCGGCAACCUAAACCUCAUUGGCCAUCUCCCCCACCUGUCCCUCCACAAACUGUCCCAAAAAUAUGGACAAAUAAUGCAGCUUCAAUUCGGGUCCUUCCCAGUUGUAGUGGCCUCGUCUCCAGAAAUGGCAAGGCAGUUCUUAAAGACAAAUGAUCACCUCUUUGCCUCUAGGCCUCAGACUGCUGCUGGCAAGUACACUGCUUAUAACUACUCCAACAUCACCUGGGCACCUUACGGUCCAUGCUGGCGCCAGGGGCGUAAAAU
rnacentral:lncRNA from 1 species